GGAAUAUAAGAACUCGUCUCUUAAUUUUUAACUAAAAAAAUUAAGAACCGGCUCUUAAAACUCUUAUUUAAGAACCGAUUCUUAGUUUUUUUAGUUAAAAGUUAAGAGACGGGUUCUUAUAUUCC
rnacentral:pre_miRNA from 1 species